CUCAAAAAACUGUAGUGUUUAGGGUACCCUUUUUAAGAGGGGGUCGGGGGAGCUCCUCCUUUCUUAACAAAGGGAUUCCCUAGUAACGGCGAGUGAAGCGGGAAGAGCUCAAAUUGAAAGCUGGUMYUUWCGGGGUUGCCCGCGUUAGUAAUCUCGAGACGCGUUUUCCGCGCGGCGCUAUGGACAAGUUCCUUGGAACAGGACAUCGUAGAGGGUGAAAAAUCCCGUACUUGCCAKGGAUGCACCGUGCUUUGUGAUACGUGCUCAAAAGAGUCGAGUUGUUUGGGAUUGCAGCUCAAAAUGGGUGGUAGACUCCAUCUAAAGCUAAAUAUCGGGGAGAGACCGAUAGCGAACAAGUACCGUGAGGGAAAGAUGAAAAGCACUUUGGAAAGAGAGUUAAAAGUACGUGAAAUUGUCGAAAGGGAAGCGCUUGAAAGUCAGCCAUGCCGCUCAGGACUCAGCCUGGCUUUUUGSYUUGGUGUACUUCCKGGGUAGCAAGUCAGCAUUGGUUUKGRACCCGUCGGAGAAAGCAUGGCAGGAAAUGUGACGCCCCUCGGGCGUGUUAUAGCCUGCCUAUUGGCAUACGCACGGUCUAGACYARSRMMCSCAGUGCGCCUUAUGGCGGGUCUUCGGACACCUUCGCACUUAGGAUGGGGGGGUUUUUUGGGGGGGGGGUUUGCGGCCCUCCCCUAAAAGGGGCCCCUUUAUCCCAGAUAUUUAAG
rnacentral:rRNA from 1 species